AGCGCCUUCUGUUUCUCAGGCGAGGCAGAUGGAGGCGGCCGCCGCGUCCACCCCGACUCGCCCUUCCCACGCCGCCCCUACCUCCCCGUCCCCGUCGCCGGCGUCGCUGCGCCAGUGGCGGCCGGCGGCGCAGCGGAACCUACGGAACCAGUGGUCGCGCCUGCUCGCCGCCAAGGCCCGGUGGCUGUCCGCCGCCGCCGACGGCCGCUCCCACGCCUCCGCGAUCGUCAACGCCCACCUCUCCCGCAGGUACAUGCCCGGCAUGGAUUUGGGGGCGCUCAAGGACAUGCCAGGGAUCCGCGAGAAGGCGAGUGGUAAGCUUGCGCACAGGGAGGAGCAAUACCAGAACAUGCUUGUCUCAGCCUACAAGGAGAUGGUCCUUGCAACGGCCGACUUGGUGAAAACUUCUCACUCUAUGCGCUGUUUUUCCAAAGUAGCCGUGAAUAGUCCGUUAAUCAAGUUUACUGAGCGCCAAGAUGAUAUGAAUGAUUCAGGGGAUGGUGGAGGAGCCCCAGUUUUCAAAUGGUUCUCCAUGCUAGAAUUCGAGAAUCUUGCGCAUGAGCUAGUCGAGAUGUUCAUUUCAGAACUACAAUUGAAGAGAUUGCUUGCCUUGGAACUCCUCUCAUUAACCCUCAAGGAAGGUGUACAACAUGAUGCAUCAUUAGAAUGGUCAGACGAGCUAUUUGAUGGGGAAUUCAAUGAGUUUCAGAGUAUUGGCCUUCUGUCAGGCGACAGCUAUCCACUGCCCAAAAGUUGGAGUGCUGAUGUCUCACAGGCAUGGCAACCUGGCCAAACCCGAUCCCAUGAGGUGUUACAGGUUUAUUUGACAUGUUGGCUUGCUAAUGUGAACAUCAAGACAAGCAGAAUUGAUGAGAUAUUUGAGCUCGUUGGGGAGGAAAUGCAGAUAAAAUUAACUUGAGGAUUCUGAUGAAUAUGAUUAAAGUAAGACCAAGUGAUCUGCCUUCCUGUUUCUGGCUUCUUUUCCUUAGUAGUAGUCCUAAAAGCUAAAACCUUAUGUAAUCUGCUCGAAACCCAAGGGAGAAAUCCUUUUUCUGAUAAUUUAGAUUUUACAAGCAGGAAGUUUAAUACUAUACCAGAAUCACUUAUCUACCCAAAGGAUCACUAUGGAAUCAUCAUUAUGAAAAAGUCUUAAGCCAUCAUCCGCUAUCAAAUUAAACCAGGUUUUGAAGUUUUGAAGUAUAUUAGCCUAGCUUCAAGUCUGUACUGGAUUAUUAUAUAUGUACAUAAUCAAUUUCUUAUGGAUCAUCAUUGAUCUAGUUGAAGGAUUGGCUGGUAUGUGUUUAUUACAAAAGACAAAAAGAUACACUGGCGAGUGGCGACUGGUUGCUGGGCUAUAAACUAACAGCGUUAGGCCCAUUAAGUCAUACAACCAAGCUGCGCCUGAUGGCCCAUCGUCGUCUCCAAAUCAAAACACUUUUGCCUUUUCUCUCUCUCUUUUUUUUAAUGUUUCGCGUCCUUGAAAGAAAUGGAACUCUGGUGAACUUCAGAAGCAAUACUUGCACCACAAAAAAACACAAUCGGCUUGAGAUAUCUCAAGGAAUCAAAAGCAGCCUGUGAUCAACC